rnacentral:rRNA from 1 species
AUUGAACGCUGGCGGCACGCCUAACACAUGCAAGUCGAGCGGCAGCAUGCUUAGUAGCAAUACUAAGUGAUGGCGAGCGGCGGACGGGUGAGGAACACGUAGGAACCUGCCCAAGAGAGGGGGAUAACUAAGGGAAACUUUAGCUAAUACCGCAUAAUCUCUGAGGAGAAAAGCUGCCCGUAAGGGUAGCGCUUUUGGAGGGGCCUGCGUCCGAUUAGUUAGUUGGUGAGGUAAAAGCUCACCAAGGCGAUGAUCGGUAACUGGUCUGAGAGGCAGACCAGUCAGACUGGGACUGAGAAACGGUCCAGGCUCCUACGGGAGGCAGCAGUGGGGAAUCUUGGACAAUGGGGGGAACGCUGAUCCUGAGAUGCCGCGUGGGUGAAGGAGGCCUGCGGGUUGUAAAGCCCUGUAGGCUGGGAAGAAGCGUGCGGGAUGAAUAAUCCUGUACAUUGACGGUACCAGCAGAAUAAGCACCGGCAAACUCUGUGCCAGCCGCCGCCGUAA